AGAAAGGGAAGGAAGAACACAAAGAGUCAGAGCGAUGCACAUUGCAGGUGGCAUAGUGAAUAAAGGAGAUGGUCUUGAAGGACAGAAAGAAGACCCACUACCAAGGCAACAAUUGGGAAAAGGAGAACACAUCCCAGCAAGGAGAAGGCACCGAUCGCUCCCCUUUGCAAUGCAUCAGGUCUUGACCUGGCUCACUUUUACACCAGAAGGGGCAAGGGAAUGUGGGUAUUAGCCCUUCAAGGUUGACCAAGUCCAGAAACAGACACUACCGAGAUUCUAGGAAUGUUACUUUAUUGCUACUUUGUAGGGUUUGAUAACAGAAUCAUGAAAGCUGUCCACGUUUCCCUCUGUUCCCUUUU